UAUGGGGGGAGAGGUAGAUAUGCUGGAGGGUAGGGAUAGGGUUCAGAUUGAUCUAGACAAAUUAGAGGACUGGUCCAAAAGAACCUGAUGAGGCUCAAUAAGGACAAGUACAGAUCAGCAAGGACAAGGAACUAUC